UUUUGUGGGGUGCUCGAGUGGCGAACGGGUGAGUAACACGUGAGUAACCUGCCCUUGACUUUGGGAUAACUUCAGGAAACUGGGGCUAAUACCGGAUAGGAGUUCCUGCCGCAUGGUGGGGGUUGGAAGUUCGCGGUGUGGGAUGGACUCGCGGCUUAUCAGCUUGUUGGUGGGGUAGUGGCUUACCAAGGCUUUGACGGGUAGCCGGCCUGAGAGGGUGACCGGCCACAUUGGGACUGAGAUACGGCCCAG
rnacentral:rRNA from 1 species